rnacentral:rRNA from 1 species
GAUGAACGCUAGCUACAGGCUUAACACAUGCAAGUCGAGGGACCGGCGCACGGGUGAGUAACGCGUAUCCAACCUGCCCAUAAGUAGGGUAUAACCCGCAGAAAGGCGGACUAAUACCCUAUGCUGAGGGAUGGGGAGGCGUCCGAUUAGCUGGGUGGUGAGGUAACGGCCCGCCAAGGCUUCCAUCGGUAGGGGUUCUGAGAGGCAGACCCCCCACAUAGGAACUGAGACACGGUCCUAACUCCUACGGGAGGCAGCAGUGAGGAAUAUUGGUCAAUGUGCGAGAGCCUGAACCAGCCAAGUAGCGUGCAGAAAGACGGCCUAUGGGUUGUAAACUGCUUUUAUGCGGGGAUAGGUACCGCAUGAAUAAGCACCGGCUAAUUCCGUGCCAGCAGCCGCGGUAAUAC